rnacentral:RNase_P_RNA from 1 species
UAAGUAGAACAAAUGAUCGCAGCUGCAAAGGAUAGGAUGCAGGUGAGGAAAGUCCGGGCUUCAUAGGGCAGGAUGCCGGAUAACGUCCGGUGGAGGUGACUCCAAGGCUAGUGCAACAGAAAUAUACCGCCUCUUAUUAUAGGAGGUAAGGGUGGAAGGGUAGUGUAAGAGACUACCGCCUGUCUGGCAACAGAUAGGGCAGAUGUAAACCCCAUUCGAAGCAAGACCAAACGGAAAGCGAUAGGCUUGCCCGGCCUGCUUUCAGGUAGGUCGCUGGAAGCUGCCGGCAACGGCAGUUGUAGAUAGAUGAUCAUUCACGACAUAACCCGGCUUAUCGUUCUGCUUAUUGA